GAGGAGGACUUGAUCGAUGGCUUCGCCAUCGCCAGCUUCGCCACCCUCGAGGCCUUGCAGAAGGAUGCAUCUCUUCAGCCCCCAGAGCGACUGGAACAUCGGCUGAAGCAUUCUGGGAAGCGGAAAAGGGGGGGCUCCAGUGGGGCCACCGGGGAGCCAGGGGACAGCUCUGAUCGAGAGCCUGGCCGGCCCCCUGGGGAUCGGGCCCGAAAAUGGCCCAAUAAGCGGAGAAGAAAAGAGGUGGUGGCAGUCCAGCAGAAAAGAAAUAGCCAGCAAGCAAACACCUAGACCUUAAUUUGAGAAGCUACAGAAGACAAAGAUGGGGAGAGAUGCUACAGAAACCCACAUGAGGAAGCCGCUUGUGCUGCCUGGGGGAUGGGAGGAGAGUUGUGGUUGGGGAAAGCCCCCUAGGAUGUCUUAGUCAGGUCCUGAAGUAUAGUCAGAAGUUUGCUAAGAAAAGACACGGGGAAAAGUUGUUUUGGGCAAGAGCAUGAAGACGUGAGGACCCGGCG
rnacentral:lncRNA from 1 species